rnacentral:rRNA from 1 species
GAGUUUGAUCAUGGCUCAGGAUGAACGCUGGCGGCGUGCUUAACACAUGCAAGUCGAACGGGCGAAUUAUAUCGGAGGUCUUCGGGCCGAAGAGAUAAUAAGCUAGUGGCGGACGGGUGCGUAACGUGUGGGUAAUCUGCCUUUGUCAUAGGAAUAACUGCUUGAAAAAGUAGCUAAUACCAAAUAACAUAUCGUAUAGGCAUCUAUAAGAUAUCAAAGAGAAAUCGGACAAAGAUGAGCCCGCAUCUGAUUAGCUGGUUGGUAGGGUAAAAGCCUACCAAGGCGACGAUCAGUAGCCGGCCUGAGAGGGUGAACGGCCACAUUGGAACUGAGACACGGUCCAAACUCCUACGGGAGGCAGCAGUGGGGAAUAUUGCACAAUGGGGGGAACCCUGAUGCAGCAACGCCGCGUGAGUGAAGAAGGCUUUCGAGUCGUAAAACUCUGUUGUAAGGGAAGAUAAUGAC